rnacentral:rRNA from 1 species
AGUGAACGCUGGCGGUAGGCCUAACACAUGCAAGUCGAACGGCAGCACAGAGGAGCUUGCUCCUUGGGUGGCGAGUGGCGGACGGGUGAGGAAUACAUCGGAAUCUACUCUGUCGUGGGGGAUAACGUAGGGAAACUUACGCUAAUACCGCAUACGACCUACGGGUGAAAGCAGGGGAUCUUCGGACCUUGCGCGAUUGAAUGAGCCGAUGUCGGAUUAGCUAGUUGGCGGGGUAAAGGCCCACCAAGGCGACGAUCCGUAGCUGGUCUGAAAGGUGGAUCAGACACACUGGAACUGGAGCAAGGUCCAGACUCCUACGGGAGGCAGCAGGGGGGAAUAUUGGACAAUGGGCGCAAGCCUGAUCCAGCCAUACCGCGUGGGUGAAGAAGGCCUUCGGGUUGUAAAGCCCUUUUGUUGGGAAAGAAAUCCAGCUGGCUAAUACCCGGUUGGGAUGACGGUACCCAAAGAAUAAGCACCGGCUAACUUCGUGCCAGCAGCCGCCGUAA